UAGGGAAUCUUCGGCAAUGGGGGCAACCCUGACCGAGCAACGCCGCGUGAGUGAAGAAGGUUUUCGGAUCGUAAAGCUCUGUUGUAAGAGAAGAACGUAUGUGAGAGUGGAAAGUUCACACAGUGACGGUAACUUACCAGAAAGGGACGGCUAACUACGUGCCAGCAGCCGCGGUAAUACGUAGGUCCCGAGCGUUGUCCGGAUUUAUUGGGCGUAAAGCGAGCGCAGGCGGUUUAAUAAGUCUGAAGUUAAAGGCAGUGGCUUAACCAUUGUUCGCUUUGGAAACUGUUAAACUUGAGUGCAGAAGGGGAGAGUGGAAUUCCAUGUGUAGCGGUGAAAUGCGUAGAUAUAUGGAGGAACACCGGUGGCGAAAGCGGCUCUCUGGUCUGUAACUGACGCUGAGGCUCGAAAGCGUGGGGAGCAAACAGG
rnacentral:rRNA from 1 species